UGAGCAACCUGCCUUUCAGAGGGGGAUAACAGUUGGAAACGACUGCUAAUACCGCAUAACGCUGCGAUGGGGCAUCCCGAUGCAGCCAAAGGAGCAAUCCGCUGGAAGAUGGGCUCGCGGCCGAUUAGCUAGUUGGUGGGGUAACGGCCCACCAAGGCGACGAUCGGUAGCCGGACUGAGAGGUUGAUCGGCCACAUUGGGACUGAGACGCGGCCCAGACUCCUACGGAAGGCAGCAG
rnacentral:rRNA from 1 species